rnacentral:rRNA from 1 species
AUUGAACGCUGGCGGCAUGCCUUACACAUGCAAGUCGAACGGUAACAGGUCUUCGGAUGCUGACGAGUGGCGAACGGGUGAGUAAUACAUCGGAACGUGCCCGAUCGUGGGGGAUAACUAGUCGAAAGACUAGCUAAUACCGCAUACGAUCUAAGGAUGAAAGCAGGGGACCUUCGGGCCUUGUGCUAUCAGAGCGGCCGAUAUCUGAUUAGCUAGUUGGUGGGGUAAAAGGCCCACCAAGGCGACGAUCAGUAGCUGGUCUGAGAGGACGACCAGCCACACUGGAACUGAGACGCGGUCCAGACUCCUACGGGAGGCAGCAGUGGGGAAUUUUGGACAAUGGGGGCAACCCUGAUCCAGCAAUGCCGCGUGAGUGAAGAAGGCCCUCGGGUUGUAAAGCUCUUUUGUCAGGGAAGAAAAGGCUGUGGCUAAUAUCCACAGCUGCUGACGGUACCUGAAGAAUAAGCACCGGCUAACUACGUGCC